rnacentral:rRNA from 1 species
UUCAGGGUAUGCUCAGUACGGCGAAGUGAAGCGGCAAAGCUUCCAAAUUUGAAACCUCGGGAUUGUAAUUUGAAAGAUUUGGCAUUGGAGAAAGCUAACCCAAGUUGCUUGGAAUAGUACGUCAUAGAGGGUGACAACCCCGUCUGGCUAACCGUUCUCCAUGUAUUGCCUUAUCAAAGAGUCGAGUUGUUUGGGAAUGCAGCUCAAAGUGGGUGGUAAACUCCAUCUAAAGCUAAAUACUGGUGAGAGACCGAUAGCGAACAAGUACUGUGAAGGAAAGGUGAAAAGAACUUUGAAAAGAGAGUGAAAUAGUAUGUGAAAUUGUUGAUAGGGAAGGAAAUGAGUGGAGAGUGGCCGAGGUUUCAGCCGCCCCUCGUGGGCGGUGUACUGCCGACGCCGAGUCAUCGAUAGCGAGACGAGGGUUACAAAUGGGAGCGCCUUUCGGGCGUUCUCCCCUAACCCUCCACACUGCCACCGACGACAUAAUCCACCCAUUUCACCCGUCUU